rnacentral:rRNA from 1 species
CAGCCGCCGCGGUAAUACGGAGGGUGCAAGCGUUAAUCGGAAUUACUGGGCGUAAAGCGCACGCAGGCGGUCUGACAAGUCAGAUGUGAAAUCCCCGGGCUUAACCUGGGAACUGCAUUUGAAACUGUCAGGCUAGAGUCUUGUAGAGGGGGGUAGAAUUCCAGGUGUAGCGGUGAAAUGCGUAGAGAUCUGGAGGAAUACCGGUGGCGAAGGCGGCCCCCUGGACAAAGACUGACGCUCAGGUGCGAAAGCGUGGGGAGCAAACAGGAUUAGAUACCCCAGUAGUCCCUGUCUCUUAUAC